GACCAUAGACAUAUCUAUGGAGUUGACAGCACCUUAACCUUACGUCAAACGGUAAAUUAACCUACAUUAAUGAUGAAUGAAGAAAUGAUUAUUGACCAAACAUGUAGUCAUUCUUAUACUAUUAAACCGCAUAUGGUUUUAACCGUGUACGUUAGCCUCCGGUUUACCAGAGUCGGCUAAAAGACGCUAACGCCGGUGAAUUAGCCGUUCUACCACAUCUGUCACUGGCAUCCCCUUGCUGUAAAACAAUGGGGGCUGCUGAGUUUUUGGGGGGAAAUUGGAUGUUUCUGGGUAAGCCGAAUAGAUAAGGCCGUUAUCAACCAUCGUUAUCAACACACACGGACCGUACUUCUGUCCUUCACAAUAAAAUACAGUAGCCCUACAGUAAAAAUACAGAUGGACUUUUAAGAUCCUAGCCCGAGCGUUUUUACUGCUUUCCCUCAUCAGAGUUACUUUCGUGUUGUAAUGUGACAUGUUAAUCUACAUGUGCAUAAAUGAAAUUUCCCACGUAGAUCAUUAAUUAUGUAUAAAUCUAUUGAAAUGACGCUUACCAUUAGCCGGUAGACGAUACAUACACACUGAAUACUGUCCGGUAGACGUGAGAUAUAACGUAAUAAAACUAUGACAGUGUUCUGGCUGUUCAUUCAUCCAGUUGUGAAAUGUAACUAGUACAUUUACUAGUACCGUACUUAAGUACAGCUUGUACUCAAGUGUAUCCAUAAUGUUUCUUCUAAACUUUUUUUUUUUUGUUUAGUUGUUCAGUACAAACACGCCUGCUUACACAGGUGCAGCAGUGUGUGUGAAAUGUAUUUUAUCUAUAAAGGAUGCAGAGGGUCAAUUCAAUGAAAGUUAACCAUUAAUAACGGUGUGAUGAAAAUUAUUUUGGGUCAAAAAGGGUUAAGCAUGAUGUGGAAUACAGGACUUUACUUGUAACAGGCCAGUUUUACACUGCUGUAUAGCUACUUUUAAUUAAGUAAAAUAUCUGAAUACUUCAAAAACUUCACACUUCAUUGUUAUUUAAGUCACAUGACCUGGCAAUAGCUGUGAGAUUCAGCAUCAGUUAAGGUGUUAACUCCCCACUAUGCUCUAAGCUGUGUUCCAGGGACAAAGAUGCAUAAGCUCCAACAAUACCUGCAGAAGAAGCAACACCUAACCUUUGCCUCUUCUCAGAUGAAGCAUGCCUCACAAGCUCCUGCUGAAGCUAUGGUGAUGGAUGAAGAUAUGGAGCUGGAGAGAGCGAUGCUGAGUAUCUCCCCUUCCAAGCAUCACAUGGAGAGCUCCGUUCCUGCAACAUCCUCAGCUGCCAGACCACAAGAGGCUUCAGGAACAGAAAGAGGUUCUUAACCAAAACGUCCUGUUGUCGAUAGACAACUGUGGGAAUAUGAAUCCUUAUCCCAAACUGAAGCAUGUCUUAAAUCGUUCCGUCUCAGGUUGACCACGUUCUGGUCGUGUCUGUGUUUUGGUGUUCUACUUAAGAGUCCUAGUGACUAUGAAUUGAUUCCAGUCAUGAUGAGGGUAAGUAUCAUUCCUUAUUCCCUUAUAUAAAUAAAUGCUAAAACUGCUGUGGUGACUAACACUUGAAUGCAUGUGUUUGCAGUGUGCCAUGUUGCUUCCCCUGCUCAGGCUCAAUUAUAUGACUGAAUACUGAAUAUUAAUCCAUACAAAAAAAAUGAAUGUGUGUUAAUGAAUGUUUUCUUUACAUAUUCAUGUAAGAAACCGUCUUUCACUAUAUCAAGCUGAGACAAGCAGGUGAAGCAAAUCAUGAGUGCCUUUACUAACGCCAUUUUUUGAUAAUUGCCAAAAUAUAAAUAAUUGACAAGAGUUCCUUUUGUAGUGUCAUCUGCUAGACUGUCCACACAGACUGAAGUGAAGGGUUCACAAGGAGAUGCCUCAGCUCUGCAGUAGUAAAGAGACCAGUGCCCCUGCCUAAGGAGCUGAUGUUCCUCUUACCACAAACAGAAUGUCCUCUGCCAACAAAGACAACUGUCACGGUUCCAGAGACCCUUCUGAUGCCUCCUGAGACAUCCACAGAGCCCAGUCAAGUGCUACUGCAACCACCAAUUGCACAGCAAGCUCAAAGUCAGCCUUUACCCAAGCCAUCAGCCGUCCGCAGCAUUCCUCCUCCACAGCUGGCCGUCCUCACAAUCUGAGUGACCUGACAAGAAGAAGACUGGCCCUGCUGCUGAGGAGCAUCCCCAGAGCAUGAUGCUGCCACCACCAUGUUUCACGCUGGAGUUGCUGGUGGCUCCGACUGGUGAAGAACCCGGGCAACAUAUGUUGUAUGUGCAUUCUCUCCUAUCUGAGCCACUGAGGCUUGUAACUCCUGCAGAGUGGUCCUAGGUGUCUUGGUGACUUCCCUCCCCAGUCUUCUUCUUGUCCGGUCACUCAGAUUGUGAGGACGGCCAGCUCUAGGCAGAUUUAAACAAGUUCCAUUUCUUAAUGAUGGUUUAACUGAACUCUGUGAGAUCAGUGAGCUUGACAUUUUUUGUAGCCAUCUCCUGACUUAUACUUUUCAAUUAUCUUUUCUCUGAGUUGCUAGGAGUGUUCUUUAGUCUUCAUGGUACUAUUGUAGCAGGAAUAGUGAUGGACCAGAGACUGGACCUCCCAGACACACAUGUUUUUAUACUACGAUCACUUGACACACAUCAGCUGUACUCGGGUGAUCUCCAUUUCACUAACUGUGACUCUGCUGCAUCAACUAGCUGGAACUCUGUUGAAUUAGGUCAGUUACUUUAAAGGGUAUGAAUACUGAUGCAAUCAUUUAUUUUACCUCAUAUAUUUUUAAUUAAUUGACAUUAUUUUGUAAAAAAAUCUGUUUUCACUUUGAUAUUAAAGAGUUUUUUUUGCAAAUUCUUUUUAAAAAGGCCAAAUUAUAUUGACCAUUAUUUCAUGCGUAAAAGCAACAUUUUAUAGGCAUUGUAUAUAGUUUUUUAUUUUUAUGUUUUUAUGUGCUGUGUAUGUAUGACCUUGCACUGUGGGCUCUGUCUGUUAAUAAAUAACACAUUCCAUUUA